ACAGGCAACAGAACCCCAUCUGGCACAGCAGCUUGAGACAGGGACUGUCAUGGAGGAACAAGAUCAAGACCUGCUUUAAUUGUGGAGCCCCCAGGGCAGGGUCUGAGAAAUAUAAAGGCAUUCGGCAGACAUCCAAAAGUCUGAAAGACA
rnacentral:lncRNA from 1 species